AUUGAACGCUGGCGGCAUGCCUUACACAUGCAAGUCGAACGGCAGCGGACCUUCGGGUGCCGGCGAGUGGCGAACGGGUGAGUAAUAUAUCGGAACGUACCUUUCAGUGGGGGAUAACGUAGCGAAAGUUACGCUAAUACCGCAUAUUCUGUGAGCAGGAAAGCAGGGGAUCGCAAGACCUUGCGCUGAUUGAGCGGCCGAUAUCAGAUUAGCUAGUUGGUGAGGUAAAGGACUCACCAAGGCGACGAUCUGUAGCGGGUCUGAGAGGAUGAUCCGCCACACUGGAACUGAGACACGGUCCAGACUCCUACGGGAGGCAGCAGUGGGGAAUUUUGG
rnacentral:rRNA from 1 species